rnacentral:lncRNA from 1 species
CUCAGUCGUGACAACCCUUUACCAGAAUUGCUUACAUACAAGCCAUUCCUGAAUAUGACCCGCCUCCCCUUUCCCACCAGCAGUUAACCUCCAGCACACACGGGGGUCACUGAGUAGCAGCUUUGAAGAGGAAGCCUCUUCAAUUCACUGCACAGUCAGCACAGCUUCUCAAGUUUUCAUCUUUUCCUAAAAGACCAAGUUAUCUUUUCCUCUGAUAAUGGUUUCUCUGUAUAGCCCUGGCUGUCCUCUGUCCUGGAACUCACUCUGUUGACCAGCCUGGCCUCAGAAAUCCACCUGCCUCUGCCUCCCAAGUGCUGGGAUUAAAGGUGUGCGCAACUACUGCGCGGUUGUGUGAUCAUCUUCCUAAAAAUCAGGUUAGCAUAGGAAGGCUCUCCAUGAGAGCCAAGCUGUGGUGCUCCCUGGUCACCCAGCUCCUCACUCUGUGGAGGUGACUCCUUCUAAGGGCCCGGGCCCUGGGAGUUGGUGUGUACGGAGGAUCCUGGACCACCCUGUGUGACCAUGGGGAGCUAGGCCCUGAGCCAAGGCUGGGAAGCCAAUCUGGGUGCCUUAGGAUGGAUUACUUAACCUCUGAUCCAAGACCUCUGGAGAAAACUGGGAAGUGUUCUAUUAUUGUCACCCCUGCUUGUGGGUGAGUUCAGAACCGCCAGGAAGAAUGCAGGAAAAUGUGGGGGGAAGGAACAGUGAAUGGUAUGUAAGGAAAGGAAGGAGAGAGUUAAAAAACAACAGCAACAACAACAACUUUUCAAAACAGAAUCGGGAAGCUACUGAAGGGACAAGAACUCACACAUUUCUACAGCUGCUGCCUGGAAUGUGGACUGUGGUCACCACCAUAGUAUAUAGUGAUGUAUUCUGGAAGUUAUUGGACUUGUGUUUUUGUAUGCCCAUUUCUCUUCUGUUUAUAUAUUCUAUUUAUCUUCCACUGGUCCCUGUUGUUAAUCAAAUAAUAACAGAAGUUUCUUACGGAGAAAACUAUUCCUUUUGUAAGAAGUCAGCUCCACCUGUCCCUGAAAGCCCCCAUCUUACCUGCUUUCCUUGGGACACAGGUCAGAGUUCUGAGCUAUAAUACUUUUGAAAAAUUCUAAAUUAUGUGUAUUUGCAUAAGGGUAAGUGCACAUGAGUGCAAGUGCCUGAAGAGUCCAGAAGAGGGAGUCGGAUCCCCCAGUUGUGAGUGGCCCAUUGUGGGUAUGGGGAACUGAACUCUGUUCCUUUGUAAGAGCAAUGUGUACUGUAUUCUUGACCGUUGGACUAGCUCUCCAGUCCCUGAAUUUGUGCUUCUGAAGACCCGGAAAUGAAGCUCCUUUAUUGACAGUUUCUGAGUGUGAACAGAUCAAUAAUUGGGAUCCUCUUAAGGCACAAUAGUCUCAAAGAGGUCUGAGUUUGAUUAAAAGCAUAAGUUAUACAUUAGUUUUAAGAGUAGAUAUAAGCAUGUUAGUCUUAGGCACAUUCCUUUACAGUUAUAUAGCUGUAGAAAUAAGUAAUCCCCCUGGGAUUGCUCUAAAUACCUAAGAGGAGAUUAAAAAAUAUAUAUAUAGUGUAGCCAACCAACCAUUCUCAUCCAAAUUGAUAUUGCUGGAAAUUAAGUGCUUAAGAAAAAUAAAAAC